CAGCAGCCGCGGGAAUACGAAGGGGGCUAGCGUUGUUCGGAUUUACUGGGCGUAAAGCGCACGUAGGCGGAUCGAUCAGUCAGGGGUGAAAUCCUGGAGCUCAACUCCAGAACUGCCUUUGAUACUGUCGAUCUCGAGUCCGGAAGAGGUGAGUGGAACUCCUAGUGUAGAGGUGGAAUUCGUAGAUAUUAGGAAGAACACCAGUGGCGAAGGCGGCUCACUGGUCCGGUACUGACGCUGAGGUGCGAAAGCGUGGGGAGCAAACAGGAUUAGAUACCCCGGUAGUCCCUGUCUCUUAUAC
rnacentral:rRNA from 1 species